GACAGAGGAUGCAAGCGUUAUCCGGAAUGAUUGGGCGUAAAGCGUCUGUAGGUGGCUUUUUAAGUUCGCCGUCAAAUCCCAGGGCUCAACCCUGGACAGGCGGUGGAAACUACCAAGCUAGAGUGCAGUAGGGGUAGAGGGAAUUCCCGGUGUAGCGGUGAAAUGCGUAGAGCUCGGGAAGAACAUCGGUGGCGAAAGCGCUCUGCUGGACUGCAACUGACACUCAGGGACGAAAGCUAGGGGAGCGAAUGGG
rnacentral:rRNA from 1 species